GUAUAUGCUCACGUUGUGUAUAAAUUUAGAGGGACCGUCGAUAAGGAUCAUUUCAGAAGAUUUCUGUACCCCGUGAGUUCGCACUGUACUGUGACAGGAAAAUGAGAAAACUCGUACUGACUUUGGUUUUCAUUGCAUGUAUCGCCUAUGGGUACUGUCGUUCUUUUUUGGCUGAAGACAACGCACGCUCAGCAGAGAGAGUGAGACAGAAAUUAUUUGCAAGGAUGAGUAAAAUGGACGACACCGCUGACACUAAGCGAAGAGGGGAAAAAAGGAGUCAAAACUGUACACCACCUCACUGUCAGAGUCACGGUUACCAUAGUGGCUGGCUUAUGGACAAGGAAGACGUGAUUGACGCAGCCAAUGCGAAGCGAGGGGCGGACUAUGGUCAUCUUGGAAAUCAGUAAUCCUUAAAGUCGAGUCUACUAGCGUAAACAGUCAAAGAUAAACGUCCAAAGACUGGCAAUAAAAGAUAGAGAUUAUGCAAAGAGGCCUCAAAUGCUGUUAAUUUAAACUAAAUUACUGCAGACAAAUAAAUGUUGGAGCUUAACUUUAUGGCUAUAAUUAUUAUCUAAACGUGUACCAGCUGCUAACAAAGGUAAAACAAUUAUCAAGUCUCUGCUGUCUCUCUGCAGCUUGUUGGUUAGUUAAAACUCAUUCCCCUAAAGAUGCGUGGUAAAAAUUCACGUUUCCUAGAACAUCAGUUCUGAACUUGAAUUUCCUGGCUCUUUGUGAUACGAAUAAAAGUGCAGGAUUGUGCAGAUCCGGAAGCCGUUAGUUUACACAAUGACGGGAGAGUUACAAAACUCAUAUUCACUCUGGUUUUCAGAAGUUGCGGUUGCUGUAGUAACAUGUUGCCUUCGAUGGUAUUUUCAUGUGAUAGGAAAGGAAAACAGGAAGGCCGCAUGUGAUCUAAUUUUGUAUAGAGUUGAAGGGAAGAGCUUAACGAACAGUAUCAGAGGAUACCCAGAAAUCGUGAGUUGCCACUGAGACAGGAAAAUGAAGAAACUCUUAUUUACAUUGGUUUUCAUUGCCUGUAUUUUCUUUGUAUUCAGCUGAUCUUAUGUUAGAAAGCCUACGGCCUGCUUUCGAAGUUAAAAGAUACCAUGUAGGCGGGUUGCGUUAGUGACAUAUUUCCUUCAGUUCCAUGAUAUUUUCAUCUGAAAGGAGACGAAAAACGGGAAGCCUGCAUAUGAUCCCAUUUUGUGUGAAUCGGAAGGAAAGGUCGUAAAGGAUCAAUAUCAAAGGAGACCCGUUGUAAGUUGGCACCGUGAUAGGAAAAUGAGAAAACUCAUAUUGACAUUGGUUUUCAGUGCCUGUAUUGUCUACGUAUCUGCCCGAUCUUAUGUUAGUGAAACAAAAGCUCUCUUGGCAGAGAAGUGGGCUAGACGGAAAUUGCCCCCACUUUUGGUGGAAAGGAGCGACUCCGUGAAACCAAGCGAGGAGAGGCGAUUCAGCGCAAACAUGGUUUAUCAUCACUUCUCAUCGUCAGCCGGGUUUCGAUAGCUGAGUAUUGUUGCAGAGCGUCGAAUGGAAGAGUCCUAGUGAAAUGA